GAGCACUGUUCGUAACCCGUCGCCUUGCUGUGGCUGGUGGUUCCAUUCCAGUGCUAUAGCAUUUCCAGUGACACAUGACUGACUGGCUGCUUGGUGGCUUUCAGUUUCAGGUCUUGGAGACAUAC
ensembl:snoRNA Gm23297 predicted gene, 23297